ensembl:snRNA U4 U4 spliceosomal RNA
AGCUUUGCACAGUGGCAGUAUUGUAGCCAGUGAGGUUUAUCUGAGGCACGAUUAUUGGUAAUUAUAUAGACAUAUAUUAUUUAGACAGCCUGAGACAUGUAAGCAUUCAAUGAAUAGCUUGUGCUA